rnacentral:rRNA from 1 species
AUUGAACGCUGGCGGCAGGCCUAAUACAUGCAAGUCGAACGAGCGGCGGACGGGUGAGUUAUGUCUGGGAACCUGCCUGACGGAGGGGGAUAACUCCUGGAAACGGUAGCUAAUACCGCAUACCAUCAGAUGUGCCCCGAUGGGUUUAGCUACUUGGUGGGGUAACGGCUCACCAAGGCGACGAUCCCUAGCUGGUCUGAGAGGAUGACCAGCCACACUGGAACGGAGACACGGUCCAGACUCCUACGAGAGGCAGCAAUGGGGAAUAUUGCACAAUGGGCGCAAGCCUAAGGCAGAAAUGCCGCGUGUAUGAAGAAGGCCUUCGGGUAGUAAAGUACUUUCAGCGGGGAGGCGUUACCCGAAGAAAAGGCACCGGCUAGCUCCGUGCCAGCGGCCGCGGUAAUAC